rnacentral:rRNA from 1 species
UGCCAGCCGCCGCGGUAAUACGAAGGGUGCUAGCGUUGUUCGGAAUUACUGGGCGUAAAGCGCGCGUAGGCGGUUAUAUUAGUCAGAUGUGAAAGUCCAUGGCUCAACCAUGGAAGUGCAUUUGAAACUGUGUAACUUGAGUACUGGAGGGGGUGGUGGAAUUCCCGGUGUAGAGGUGAAAUUCGUAGAUAUCGGGAGGAAUACCGGUGGCGAAGGCGACCACCUGGACGGGUACUGACGCUGAGACGCGAAAGCGUGGGGAGCAAACAGGAUUAGAUA